rnacentral:lncRNA from 1 species
GGAUGGAACUCGACGGACGGUGAGCUGCAGUCGAGGCUUCAUGACCGGCUAGUCGUUUGACGGCGGUUUAUUGAAGUUCUUCGUCAUUGUUGUUUGCCACAGACGGAGAGAAGGCCUUUGGGUGUGAGUUGGGCAAACUUUGGUUUUGUCAAUCACAUUCAAAAGCAGCAGCCAUGGCGGAGGUGCAGAAGCAGCUGGAGCUUGAAGUAGAAUGCAAGGCAUUGAGGCACCACAAUUUGACGGCGGUUAUUGAAGUUGGUGGGGAUGGGAGAGGACAAACUCCACGGAGGCAAAGACUAUGAUGGAGUAGGUAAGCUUGAUGGGAUUUUUAUCUUUCUUCACUUUCUUAUGGAUUUUCUGCAGGGAUUGUGCACCUGUGACCAUGUACAAAAAAUGUUGACACCAACUUCGCAUACGAGCUGCUGAGGCACCACAAUCCAGAGGCCAAGCUUUUCGCCGAAGGCGUGUUGCUCCAGCUUAUGGUACCUAUCGGACCGCUUGCCGGGCACCAUUUCAUGCGUCUCAAUCAAUUGCCACAACGUGAACAAAGUGAUCACCCAUGAGAGCACUAUUACAACACAUCCUGGACCCUAUCCGAGACUGGAAGUUGCAAAGGGAAGACCUAGGACACCAGCUCCAACCAUGGAAUUGACAUUGUGGAAAGCUGCGUACCACCAAUUUGCAUUCCUUGAUGAAGUAAUUGGAAGUCAAUCACUUAUUGCCUUCU